rnacentral:rRNA from 1 species
CCUACGGGUGGCUGCAGUGGGGAAUAUUGGACAAUGGGGGGAACCCUGAUCCAGCCAUGCCGCGUGUGUGAAGAAGGCCCUCGGGUUGUAAAGCACUUUCAGUGAGGAAGAACGCCUGGUGGUUAAUACCCAUCAGGAAAGACAUCACUCACAGAAGAAGCACCGGCUAACUCCGUGCCAGCAGCCGCGGUAAUACGGAGGGUGCGAGCGUUAAUCGGAAUUACUGGGCGUAAAGCGCGCGUAGGUGGCUUGAUAAGCCGGUUGUGAAAGCCCCGAGCUCAACCUGGGAACGGCAUCCGGAACUGUCAAGCUAGAGUGCAGGAGAGGAAGGUAGAAUUCCCGGUGUAGCGGUGAAAUGCGUAGAGAUCGGGAGGAAUACCAGUGGCGAAGGCGGCCUUCUGGACUGACACUGACACUGAGGUGCGAAAGCGUGGGUAGCAAACAGGAUUAGAUACCCCUGUAGUC